rnacentral:rRNA from 1 species
CAAAAGUCGUGCACGCCGGAGCAUGUCCUCUCUCUCACAUAAAAUCCAUCUCACCCUUUUGUGCACCACCGCGCGGGCACCCUUUGGGAUGCUUGCGUUUUCACACAAACCCCUUUUUAAAAAGUGUAGAAUGACCCCACUUUGCGAUGACACGCAAUCAAUACAACUUUCAACAACGGAUCUCUUGGCUCUCGCAUCGAUGAAGAACGCAGCGAAAUGCGAUACGUAAUGUGAAUUGCAGAAUUCAGUGAAUCAUCGAAUCUUUGAACGCACCUUGCGCCCCUUGGUAUUCCGAGGGGCACACCCGUUUGAGUGUCGUGAAAAUCUCAACCUUCUCGGUUUUCUUCUGGACACCGAAGGAGGCUUGGACUUUGGAGGCCUUUGCUGGCGUCUCUCUAGAGCCAGCUCCUCUUAAAUGAAUUAGCGGGGUCCUCUUUGCCGAUCCUUGACAUGUGAUAAGAUGUUUCCAUGACUCGGUUUCUGGCUCUGUUGCAUUUGGGACCUGCUUCUAACCGUCUCGACGAGACGAUGUUUGGGAGUGUCUCCCUUCUCGGGAGACUCUCUCGACCCCACGAACC